UGCAGUCGACGGCAUCGCGGACUUCGGUCUGGCGGCGAGUGGCGAACGGGUGAGUAACAUAUCGGAACGUGCCCAGGAGUGGGGGAUAGCCCGGCGAAAGCCGGAUUAAUACCGCAUACGAUCUACGGAUGAAAGUGGGGGACCGCAAGGCCUCACGCUCGUGGAGCGGCCGAUAACUGAUUAGCUAGUUGGUGGGGUAAAGGCCUACCAAGGCGACGAUCAGUAGCUGGUCUGAGAGGACGACCAGCCACACUGGGACUGAGACACGGCCCAGACUCCUACGGGAGGCAGCAGUGGGGAAUUUUGGACAAUGGGGGCAACCCUGAUCCAGCAAUGCCGCGUGAGUGAAGAAGGCCUUCGGGUUGUAAAGCUCUUUUGUCCGGGAAGAAAUCCUCUGGGAUAACACCUUGGGGGGAUGACGGUACUGGAAGAAUAAGCACCGGCUAACUACGUGCCAGCAGCCGCGGUAAUACGUAGGGUGCGAGCGUUAAUCGGAAUUACUGGGCGUAAAGCGUGCGCAGGCGGUUUUCCAAGACAGAUGUGAAAUCCCCGGGCUCAACCUGGGAAUGCAUUUGUGACUGAGCUGAGUGUGUCAAGGGGGGUAGA
rnacentral:rRNA from 1 species